UACGGAGGGUGCAAGCGUUGUCCGGAUUUAUUGGGUUUAAAGGGUGCGUAGGCGGCCCGGUAAGUCAGUGGUGAAAGCCUCCAGCUCAACUGGAGAACUGCCAUUGAUACUGCCGGGCUUGAGUACAGACGAGGCUGGCGGAAUUGAUUGUGUAGCGGUGAAAUGCAUAGAUACAAUCAAGAACUCCGAUUGCGUAGGCAGCUAACUAGGCUGUAACUGACGCUGAGGCACGAAAGCGUGGGGAGCGAACAGG
rnacentral:rRNA from 1 species